AAAGCAGAUACAAGAAGAACAUCGUCGCUUUGUUAGCCCUUUCUGUCACUUGCCUGUUGAUAUGGUAAAACAAUUUCCAAUUGACUACAUGCAUCAACUGUGUCUGGGUGUUAUGCAUAAAUUGAUUAUGGCUUGGAUGAGGGGAAAUCGCGCUGCUAAAUUGUCUGUUGCCCAUGUAGAGGCUGUUAGUAGAAACAGGAGUGCAGUUUUUCACAUAUUGCUACCUUGCAUUUAAAUCUAAUGAGUGAUUUUGCUUUUUAGAUUUGCUGGUGUACAGCGAGCUGAUCUCCCUUGCAGAAAAAGAUUUAUAUAAAUGUGAACUAGUACCAGAAAUUCAAAACACAUAGGAUCAUGCAAUAACUUCCCCAUCUACUAGUAGGACACCAUCUCAGCGUAGUGGGCUUCUGUAUGUUCUACAGGUGCUGUAGGCGUUGGUCCUUUAAAAUAUUGUUGUAGCAUCCAAAGUUCAGUUCUCACCAAACUGGAAACAUUAAUUGAUAAAAAAGAAGAAGCGUUGUCAAUAUUGCGUGCUCUGUUAAGGGCUAAGAAAGGUGUAGACGAGCACGAAAUUUUUUGAAGAUGUUGUACCUAAUCCCUUAGAUUUGGUUGAAGAACUUGAGGACCUAUCCUCUACGUCUUGAUGAAGAAGAGUCCAGAAGAAAGUUGCUGCAGUUUUUGGUAGCACUGUGCGCAAACACCUGUGCAAACAGUGUUAGAAGAAUUAUGACAAAGCUAGGAACAAAUAAUCUAUGGUCCCAAUAUAGUUUAAAAGGCAAAAAGUCAAAGUGACUAUUUCAGCACCUUGCCCUCUGCAAAGUUAUAACAAAAGCCUGCCUUAAAAGGCAUAAAGGAUGCAGCCAGGCCAACGUUAAAGAGCAAAUCGCCGAAUUUUUAAAAUAUGCUCCAGGCAAGCGAGAGGGUUCCAGAUUUAAGACAGGGAGAACUCAGUGGAACUGAAGUGGAACCAAUUCAGAAAGAAACGAUCGGACACAAUGAACGAUCGCAAGUAAAUAACAAAUUUUUAAGAAAUUUUGAGAUUUUAUAGAGAAACCAGUAUUUAUCUUUUGUACCCAAGCUAAAAACCGUAUCUAAACAAAAGCUUUGAGAAAUA